rnacentral:rRNA from 1 species
UACGGGGGGGGCAAGCGUUGUUCGGAAUUACUGGGCGUAAAGGGUGCGUAGGCGGUCCGCUAAGUUGGGUGUGAAAACUCUGGGCUUAACCCAGAGCCUGCAUUCAAAACUGACGGGCUAGAGUUCUGGAGGGGGUAGCGGAAUUCCUGGUGUAGCGGUGAAAUGCGUAGAUAUCAGGAGGAACACCGGUGGCGAAGGCGGCUACCUGGACAGAAACUGACGCUGAGGCACGAAAGCUAGGGGAGCAAACAGG